GGACGAACGCUGGCGGCAUGCCUAACACAUGCAAGUCGAACGGGGGUAGCAAUACCCUAGUGGCGAACGGGUGAGUAACACAUAAGCAAUCUGCCCUUCACAGGGGGAUAACAGCGGGAAACUGCUGCUAAUACCGCAUAAGACCACGGUACCGCAUGGUACAGGGGUAAAAACGAAUCAGUGGUGAAGGAUGAGCUUAUGUCCCAUUAGCUAGUUGGUGAGAUAACAGCCCACCAAGGCGACGAUGGGUAGCCGACCUGAGAGGGUGAUCGGCCACACUGGAACUGAGACACGGUCCAGACUCCUACGGGAGGCAGCGGUGGGGAAUAUUGGGCAAUGGAGGAAAAACCUCUUACCCAGCAAUGCCGCGUGAGUGAAGAAGGUCUUCGGAUUGUAAAGCUCUUUGAUUGGGGACGAAGAAAGUGACGGUACCCAAAGAACAAGCCCCGGCUAACUACGUGCCAGCAGCCGC
rnacentral:rRNA from 1 species